rnacentral:rRNA from 1 species
UACGGGGGGGGCAAGCGUUGUUCGGAAUUACUGGGCGUAAAGGGCGCGUAGGCGGCCCACUAAGUCGGACGUGAAAUCCCUCGGCUCAACCGGGGAACUGCGUCCGAUACUGGAUGGCUUGAGUUCGGGAGAGGGAUGCGGAAUUCCAGGUGUAGCGGUGAAAUGCGUAGAUAUCUGGAGGAACACCGGUGGCGAAGGCGGCAUCCUGGACCGGCAUUGACGCUGAGGCGCGAAAGCCAGGGGAGCAAACGGG